rnacentral:rRNA from 1 species
CCCUUAGAUGGUCUGGGCGGCACGCGCGCUACAAUGAUGCAUUCAAAAAGUCUUCUGACCUUAGAAGGUUGGGUAUUCUCCAAAGUGCAUCGUGAUGGGAAUAGUUUAUUGCAAUUUUUAAUCUUGAACGAGGAAUUCCUAGUAAGUACAGGUCAUCAACUUGUGUUGAUUACGUCCCUGCCCUCUGUACACACCGCCCGUCGCUCCUACUGAUUGAGUGUCUCGGUGAAUUCUUUGAUCUUCUGUCGAUUCAGUUCACUGAUCCGACGGUGGAAAGUUGAAUGAACUUCGUCACUUAGAGGAAGGAGAAGUCGUAACA